rnacentral:tRNA from 1 species
GGGGGCGUCGACUACGGGAAGGUCACCGGCCUUUCACAUCGGAAGCGGGAGCUCGAAUCUCCUCGCCCCCACCA